rnacentral:rRNA from 1 species
AUACGAAGGGGGCUAGCGUUGUUCGGAAUUACUGGGCGUAAAGCGCGCGUAGGCGGACUGAUCAGUUGGGGGUGAAAUCCCAGGGCUUAACCCUGGAACUGCCUCCAAUACUGUCAGUCUUGAGUUCGGGAGAGGUGAGUGGAAUUCCUAGUGUAGAGGUGAAAUUCGUAGAUAUUAGGAAGAACACCAGUGGCGAAGGCGGCUCACUGGCCCGAUACUGACGCUGAGGCGCGAAAGCGUGGGGAGCAAACAGGAUUAGAAACCCCAGUAGUCCC